UGGGGAAUCUUGCGCAAUGGGCGAAAGCCUGACGCAGCAACGCCGCGUGCGGGAUGAAGGCCUUCGGGUUGUAAACCGCUUUCAGCAGGGAAGAAAUUGACGGUACCUGCAGAAGAAGCCCCGGCCAACUACGUGCCAGCAGCCGCGGUAACACGUAGGGGGCGAGCGUUGUCCGGAUUUAUUGGGUGUAAAGGGCAGGUAGGCGUCCUUGCAAGUUUUGGGUGAAAUCCUAAGGCUCAACCUUAGAACUGCCUAAAAAACUGCGAGGAUUGAGGCUAGAAGAGGAGAGCGGAAUUCCCGGUGUAAGGGUGAAAUCUGUAGAUAUCGGGAGGAACACCAGUGGCGAAAGCGGCUCUCUAGUCUGGAUCUGACGCUAAACUGCGAAAGCUAGGGGAGCAAACAGG
rnacentral:rRNA from 1 species